AGAGUUUGAUCCUGGCUCAGGACGAACGCUGGCGGCGGGCUUAACACAUGCAAGUCGAACGAGGUUCACCGAGUAGCAAUACGAGGGAAGACCUAGUGGCGAACGGGUGAGUAUCACGUGAGAAACCAACCCCGGUCUCUGGGAUAACAGUUGGAAACGACUGCUAAUACUGGAUGUCGUCGUACCCUCGCAUGGGGGGAUGACGAAAGGGUUACCGGAUCGGGACGGUCUCGCGGCCUAUCAGCUUGUUGGGGAGGUAACGGCUCACCAAGGCUUCGACGGGUAGCUGGUCUGAGAGGAUGAUCAGCCACACUGGGACUGAGACACGGCCCAGACUCCUACGGGAGGCAGCAGUGGGGAAUCUUGCGCAAUGGGCGAAAGCCUGACGCAGCCACGCCGCGUGCGGGAUGAAGGCCCUAGGGUUGUAAACCGCUUUUAACAGGAACGAAAAUGACGGUACCUGUAGAAUAAGGUGCGGCCAACUACGUGCCAGCAGCCGCGGUGACACGUAGGCACCAAGCGUUGUCCGGAUUUAUUGGGCGUAAAGAGCUCGUAGGCGGUUCAGUAAGUCGGGUGUGAAAACUCUGGGCUUAACCCAGAGACGCCACUCGAUACUAUUGUGACUAGAGUUCGGUAGGGGAGCGGGGAAUUCCUAGUGUAGCGGUGAAAUGCGCAGAUAUUAGGAGGAACACCGGUGGCGAAGGCGCCGCUCUGGGCCGAUACUGACGCUG
rnacentral:rRNA from 1 species